AGAAUUUGAUUAUUUAUUUUAUUAUCUCCAGGUAUGAAAAUUAAAUUAAAUACAAUUUUGAUUAGUACAAAUAAUUACCUUAAGUACAGUAAGAAACACAAAUAAUGAUUUGAAUGUGAAACUUAGUAUUGUAAUACUUUUAAAAAUAUCUAAGCUAUUAUGCCUUUGUGUACCCACAUUAAUAGAGGUGGCUAAACACUUAAACCUUGAAAGUGUAAUAAACAUUUCUAGAAAGAAAAAUACACAAGUUCUAAAUAUGGACUUUCUCAAGAAGUGUGUUUUACUUAGGAUUGUGAUUCUUCUAAUGAAUAAUCAGGGAUCCCUCUUUUAUCAAUUCAUUCUAAUGUAAAGUAUAAAUAAAUCAACAACUUGAAAAGAUAAAUCUGUCUGAUAGUACACAUUUUUUUGGUUAAGUAAUGGGAAUGCUUUUUGUCCCUUGUUUUUUUUUUUUUACACAACAAAACUUAAAAUCAUAGAACAGAUCAACAAUGUUUAAACAUCUCAGAGGAGCUACAUAUUACCUGGAACAAUUGUACUUUUUACAAUGAUAUUAUGUAC